rnacentral:rRNA from 1 species
AUUGAACGCUGGCGGCAUGCUUUACACAUGCAAGUCGAGCGGCAGCGCGUGCUUCGGCCUGGACGCGAGUGGAGAACGGGUGAGUAAUGCCUCGACACGUGCCCACUAGUGGGGGAUAGCCCGGCGAAAGCCGGUUUAAUACCGCAUACGCCCUGAGGGUGAAAGCGGGGUACCCGAACGCCUCGCGCUAUUGGAGCGGCCGAUGUCGGAUUAGAUAGUUGGUGGGGUAAAGGCUUACCAAGGCGACGAUGCGUAGCUGGUCUGAGAGGACGAUCAGCCACACUGGGACUGAGACACGGCCCAGACUCCUACGGGAGGCAGCAGUGGGGAAUUUUGGACAAUGGGGGCAACCCUGAUCCAGCCAUGCCGCGUGCGGGAAGAAGGCCUUCGGGUUGUAAACCGCUUUUGUUCGGGAAGAAAUCCUCUGGGCUAAUAAACCGGGGGGAUGACGGUACCGUAAGAAUAAGCACCGGCUAACUACGUG